rnacentral:rRNA from 1 species
CCUACGGGAGGCAGCAGUGGGGAAUAUUGCACAAUGGGGGAAACCCUGAUGCAGCGACGCCGCGUGAGUGAAGAAGUAUUUCGGUACGUAAAGCUCUAUCAGCAGGGAAGAAAAUGACGGUACCUGACUAAGAAGCCCCGGCUAACUACGUGCCAGCAGCCGCGGUAAUACGUAGGGGGCAAGCGUUAUCCGGAUUUACUGGGUGUAAAGGGAGCGUAGACGGCAGCGCAAGUCUGGAGUGAAAUCCCAUGGCUUAACCAUGGAACUGCUUUGGAAACUGUGCAGCUAGAGUGCAGGAGAGGUAAGCGGAAUUCCUAGUGUAGCGGUGAAAUGCGUAGAUAUUAGGAGGAACACCAGUGGCGAAGGCGGCUUACUGGACUGUAGCUGACGUUGAGGCUCGAAAGCGUGGGGAGCAAACAGGAUUAGAUACCCCAGUAGUC